GAUGAACGCUGGCGGCGUGCCUAAUACAUGCAAGUCGAGCGAACAGACGAGGAGCUUGCUCCUCUGACGUUAGCGGCGGACGGGUGAGUAACACGUGGAUAACCUACCUAUAAGACUGGGAUAACUUCGGGAAACCGGAGCUAAUACCGGAUAAUAUAUUGAACCGCAUGGUUCAAUAGUGUAAGACGGUUUUGCUGUCACUUAUAGAUGGAUCCGCGCCGCAUUAGCUAGUUGGUAAGGUAACGGCUUACCAAGGCAACGAUGCGUAGCCGACAUGAGAGGGGGAGGGGCAAACAUGGAACUGUGACACGGUACAGAGGCCAGCGGGAGGAAGCAGUAGGGAAUGUUCCGCAAUGGGCGAAAGCCUGAAGGAGUAACGCAGCGUGAGUGAUGAAGGUCUUCGGAUCGUAAAAAUCUGUUAUUAGGGAAGAACAAAUGUGUAAGUAACUAUGCACGUCUUGACGGUACCUAAGCAGAAAGCCACGGCUAACUACGUG
rnacentral:rRNA from 1 species